UGUUAUGGCGAAGCUGGAGAGGGACACGUUUACGUGUGCUGGUAACCUUGUAGACCAGUCGACCAACCCUUUUCAGCUUUGCCACCUAA
rnacentral:antisense_RNA from 1 species